UCCUUCAUUCCACCGGAGUCUGUCUCAUACCUAAUCAGAUUUCAGUGGAGUGAAGCACA
rnacentral:pre_miRNA from 2 species